AUGGGAGAUAAUAAGGCCAUUUAUAUGGGUGUCAGUGGACAGGAAGCACGACCAUAUCUGGACUCUGAAGGGCAGACAAUCAAGUCUUCAGAAGAAAAUGUUGGAAGAAACCACACAGACUUUUAUUGUGAUGAAUGCUGUCUGGUGGGAUGCUAUCCCUUUAAACGUCUGCCGGCGGGACAGAUGAAGUGCAGUCUUGAAGGGCACAAGUUUAUUUCAAAAGGCACCCCUGAUAGCAACCAUAAAAAAGAUCCUCCUAUAAUCGCUCACACAGACUCCCUGAUGAGUUCAGGUAUGAAGAGAGUCUAAAACCCACUCUUCUGCAUUUCCCACUGUCCUGAUUUAGUCUCUCGUUUGGGCUCCCCUUCGGCCAGCCCGAUUCAUCUGUCAAAAUCGCACCUUUUUGCAGUCUGCGUCUCCUUUUGUCCCAGCUCGGUCUAACACUGCGGGAAAAAAGUAACAAACACAAAGCAAUGGAACAAGAACAGCACCGGCAUGUUCAAUCUAUUUUUGCCUGUUCUUCCAGCCAGAGCCACAGGCCGCUGCACGUAGCUGCCACAAUGUAGACUUCAUGUGACACCCGACUCCAGCACACACUCGCUGACUUUCAGUCGCCCUUGUGUGGAGUAUAAAGCCAGUUUCAGUUUGGGCUGUUGUUGAACAGAGAGGGGAAAAAAGAAAUACAUGCGUCAUUCUAGUAAGAGUAGACGAUUUUAUCUAAAAUAAAUUGGGUUUAAGCAAGUAAUCUGUAACGUAAUGAACUAAUCAUAAAUUCAGGAAAUCUGUGUUUUUGUGUUUUAGUUAAUUUGACAGUCUGAGAGGCACACCGCUGAACGCCUUAUAGCCAUUCAUAUUAUUAGCCUGGAACUGUAGUUAAAUUAAGAAAAAUGUGGGAAAAUAUAUAAAUAAUAGUAUAUAGUAAUAUCUGUAAAAAUAGAUAUAUAAUGAUGAAUACAGCUGUAUUACAAGAUGGCUACAUAUGUUUAAGCAACUGAAUUAUUAUGUGAAUAAUCAUGUUUAUGCAUGUGUUCAUUUAAUAUAAUUUGUAAAAAUUCAUAUUUUAUUUAAUAUUAUGUUUAUAAAUAAAACAAGUGAAGUGAAGAAACUUUGUACACGUAAACAAUGUAAACAAAAAAAGUUUCCCCAUUAAAAGCCAUCAAGGGAAAAAUACUCUUUGUCUGUGGCUACUUUUUGACAAGUAGAAACUUUAAAAUAUUGCAGAGUGCAAAGAGCAGAGAGAGAGAGACAGAAAACGAGAGAAAAAUGGAGUGAGACGUCAAAUUGAAUCUACACAAACAGAAACAGAACACAGCAGAUAUCUGGCCUAAAGCCAUGUAACUUGUAGCUGGAGCGUCUGUGUCACUGCUGUGUCCUUGAAGGCUUCAGGUAAAGAUGAAGCGCUGGGAGUUAUACUGUAGCAACCAGAACGAUCACAGUGUUUUAAUGAACAGUCCUUUACACUGUCACUCAAACUGCAGUCUCAAAAGAACACGCGGCUCUAACUCAGUCAAAUGCCCGCAAAUACCCCCCUAAUCUCACAUCGCACACACUAUCAGACACAUUCUUGUAUAAACUGCUGAUCUGUAGUUUCAGUAUGUACUUGAUGUAUUUGUACAUUGUGUCAAAUAUACAGUAAUUAAUAGGAUCUGAAUGUAUUAAGUCAUUUUUUGUUUUUCUUCAGCAAAUGGCCAGUGGAAGAAGUACUCAACCUUCAGGAAAUGUUAAUCGUCAACAUGAGGUGGAAAAAACUAUGUAAUAUAUUAACUGAUUAUCUUACAUCUACAUGUUUGUAGCUCUGUUUUUGAAACUUUUAGGUCAUAAAUAAUUCUAAAGUCGAAAUAAUUUUAAAGUCUUCCUAUAAAUUCUUUCAUUAAACCUCAUUUCCCGCCAAUCACCUCUAUGAUAAGUAAGGAAAACCUCAAGGUUGAGACCUUCGUAGAACAAUUCUCAGUCAAGUUAAACAAACAGUUUAAUUUUUUUAACCUCUGGAGGUGCCGAUCUUGUAUAUGUUGUUAUAUUUGUUGUUUAUGUUGUUUGUUGUUCGACACUUCACAAUAGUACCAUUUUAAACUAUUUUUAUUAUUACUUGAGAUUUGUCCAUGAUGUGUUUAUUGUAUGCCUGUA
rnacentral:lncRNA from 1 species